GAAAUAGCCCUAGAUGAAGACAACUUUAUAUUAUGAAGAUAGAGACUCUCCUGGUGUUCAUCUGCGAGUGAGUGACGACAGCCAAACAAAUUCCAGAGAACCUGUCAGGAUGUGGAGGUGGGAGAGGGCCCAGCCUCGACAAAAUAAUGCCACAGCUAAGACAUUUUUGAAAGAGAUGGGAGACAGAGCCUUUCUUUGUAGUUAUUAAAAGCAUAUGGACCCGAGUGAGGAAAAAUCGGAGGAGAGAGAAAAGUGCAGAAAUAAGGCCGGGAAUGCAUCUGACUGGCUCUUCAGGCUGCCGCGUUACCCGAAGGCUUGACCAGGCGGGACCCCAACCUCACGCCAUAAGCCCAGUGAUCCAGGCGGACACACACUUCGAGAAGAGCAGGUGGACACGGAGAUGACCUUAGUGUCGGGAAGGAUUUCCAACCACGCCCUCAAAGGGUGGGGCAGAAACCAUUCUUGGUCCUCAAAUAUCAAUUUCUGAUUUAAAAGCUUUAAGCUUUGCUGUGUUAAAAAGAAAAAAUUAACACAAGUAGAAGGCAAAUGACAAGUGAGGAAAAAGAGCAGAUAUGUUGAAAGUUUACUACUUUUUUUAAAACAGGGUCUCCCUGUGUAGCCCAGCCUGGCCUCAAACUUGCAGCAAUCCUCCUGCCUCAGCCUCCAAGAGCUGAGCUUACAGGAAUGUGCCCCAGCUGGUGAAGGUGUACUACUCUUACUAUGAAAAAAUGUCAUGAAUUUUGAAAUUGAAAAACUAAAAUGGCCUUUUCGGGGGCCGGCAGACAAGAGUGUGUCUAUGCAUGAGGUGGGAGGCAGGUGGAGCAAUGGAAAGGCUGCGGGUGGAGAUGCCCAGCCUGGGGUGCCCACCUGCGCCCGGGCAGCAGCUGUGGAAGCGGACGCCCCAAGCAGCACCUGCGGGCCAGGUCCAUCUUACGCGCUUUCAUAGAUCAGCUUUGGCGAUGCUCGCCACAGCCCAGUGAGUCAGGUUCUCUACUCCCGCUCUUUGACACGUAGGGCGCCAUGCAGCCCCCUCCCCUGGGCGCAACAGGGUCUGCUGGGCACCUGACCCAUCUCACUCUGUGCAUCCCACUGUGGUGGCUGGUAGUACCAGAAGUCCCACUUGCUCAGAGCUGGUGUCUCGUGACAGAAGAGCGGCCCGGGCGGCCUCUAGGGUCAGAAGAGAUGCCCACAAGGAGCAUGACGCUUCCUCCGGCUGGAGAAGCCACACUUGGGAAGGGCAUGAGCUCACUGCUGCCUCCUGGAGGAGGGACACCACCAGGGGGCAUGAGGAGCAGGUGGUGGCACAGGUCACUGUCACUGCCCAGGCCUUGCUGCUGGAUGGAAGGAACCUGGCAGAAACUAAGAGCGACCACAGUUCUGUGGCCUUAGGGCUCAGCAUAACUGAACAAAGCACAAAUGGGCACUACUUCCUGUGUGAGGCUGUCCCUGACACUUAUUUUCUUCUAUGAACUUUUCUGUGCCGCCAACACGGUAUCUGAUGACCAGCACUAUGCACAGCCAAAGUGGCAGAAAGCAGAAAUUAAAUCUUAACUGCUUUUUUUUUUCUUUUCUUAAACAAUCUUUAUUCAGAAUGGAAUUUCUCUAUCACCUGAGCACCUUAGCCUACUCUGGCUGUGCCUGAGACUAGGGGGAGUGAGUAGGAAGCCUCCAGGACGGGGCUGUGUGGGGUUUGAACCCCUGCAAUGGGCCUUGCGGGUCACCCAUGGCUCCUGCAGGCUGCCCGCUGUUUGCCCUGACCCAAUACUCCUGGACAGCCCUGCUCCAGGGUGAGGAGUGAGGCACCCUGACAGGCUCCCCACACCAGGUCCUGGGUUCCCUGGGCUGGUAGCCCUGGCGGGCAGCUGAGCCCAGGAGCCAGGCCUCUGAGGCCUGCCUCAGCUGGAGGAGCAGCCCCUUGGGCGUCAGCCAGCCCUGCAGUUUACUGCGCUCCACGCAACCCAUCGCGUGGCCGAGAGGCUGGAAUCUUUCAUUCCCAUUUUCUAGCACAGCCGAAGAGAUGGGCUGAGUGGACCUCAACUCCUUAAAAGGCGUGAAGAGCUCACGCACGCUGUGGCUGGCACCAUGGCUGGCACUGCAGGGCAUGCCAGGCACGUGGGCUUGCUGAAGCAUGCCAGGACAGGCAAGGGGCACUGGGUGUGCCACCUGCUUUGGGAACACCAGCAGCCAAGCAUUCUGAAGUUCAGAUUACUCGUGCUGCUUUUUGGGAAUCAUUUCUCAGUGGAAACUUCUCAUUCCACAGAAGAAAGUAAUAAAACAUGUUCCUUACAAAGCCUUAAACUAUGUCACUCUGCCCACAAAUCAGGUCCUAACAUAAUUACGUGUGACAAAAUCACACUAGACUCACAGAGAAUCAGAGCGGCAUGGUUAAUUUCUCAGCGAAGCAGAGCUGUGU